rnacentral:rRNA from 1 species
UGAGCAACCUGCCCCUGGCUCUGGGAUAACUCCGGGAAACCGGAGCUAAUACCGGAUACGAGACCGAUUGGCAUCUUUACGGUCUGGAAAGUUUUUCGGCCAGGGAUGGGCUCGCGGCCUAUCAGCUUGUUGGUGGGGUAACGGCCCACCAAGGCGACGACGGGUAGCCGGCCUGAGAGGGCGACCGGCCACACUAGGACUGAGACACGGCCCAGACUCCUAAGGGAGGCA